CUGCACACUCUCCACAUGGAGAUCAGUUCUUUAUAUAGAGAGGCAUGUACAGUACAUAUGUGCACCAUAGUAGGAACAUACAGUCUCGUGCAUGCUGCAUAUGAAUCCAAAAUAUAUAAAUAAUAUAAAUAAUCACAGCGCGCGCACACAUCCUGCAGGAAGCAUCCAAUCUUAAUCACCUGCACACCUCUAUCAUGACCACACAUUAACCUUCGCUUUGCAUCACACACUCUGUACACACACACACACACACACACACACACACACACAAAAUACAAUGGAGUGAGCUCGCGCAUCCUUCCCUCUCUCAGUCCUGCACAAGGAGACACUCGUGGCAAAACACGUGCCCUCCGCCUCCAUCCUACUCACGUGAAAGUACAAUCUGUCGAGGGGCGUGGCUUCACAUCUUCAGCACGUGUGGGCCAAGGCGAGCUGGAGCGGGCGCGCGCUCGUUGCUGGAACAGCUGUCACGGGGACCCAAAAGACUCACCACAGUGGCCACACGGUAAACAAAGUGGAGCUGGUCCAGCACAGAGGAGACCAGUUAAACCUCUGCAGCUGCAGCUGCUCCAUCACUGGAUGGACUGUUUGCAUUCCUGUCCUAUCUCCUGAUGGUGCAAUAGGUGGAGGAAACACCAAUGUGAAACUUGUGAAACACACCAUGCAAAGAUUUAACAUUUUCCCUUGAUUUAAUAAUUGAAAGUGUUGAUGACGGGGUAAUAUGCUGCAUACAUAGAGCCAGUGACCGGCAAACAUCCCUUGUGGUUCACCCAUGUUACACCACCAUCCAAGAAUACUGUGACAUCCAAUGACUGUAUGGCAACAUCCUGUUACACCCAAGGUCAGGAUUUUAGAAAAACAGUCACGAGUCUAGUCUGAGCCCCUCAGCCACAGCACCACAGACGAGAACCAACAAAACUCUACAACAGCAUCUAAAAAAAAAAAACACUUGUCUUUUUACAUGCAUCUUGUCUCAGUCACUGUAAUCGAGCUAACAAUAUGUAGCAUCCAAUGUUAACUCAAGUGGGUAGCCGACAAUCUAUUUUCUACAUCCAAAGAUCUUCUCUAAAAAUGAAUCACUUGGCAGCCAGCCCAGGCCUCUAAUUGGGACAGGCCUUUUUUUGUCAAAAUGUGUAGCCACACUGGGUUAGUAAAAGGGACUGGGCGUUUAAUUGAAGUUUUAUGGUAUUUUUAAUCUAAGAGUGCUCAUACUGCAAUCCAGACUUGUCAUUUAGUUUGCAUACUGACUGUUUGGAGUUUAUUUUGUCAAGUAAGAACACAAUAAAACUGUUUUACAAAUCUGUUACAUAGCUUGAGACUCCCUCUUUGAGAGAAUGAUGAAUAUUAUGGUGGUCAUGUGGCGGGGGUAACUGGGUAAGUGUGACAUUGAAUCAUGUGUAGUACUGCACCUGUACUUGUGUUGCUAUUUGGUAAAUAUGCUGCAGAACUUGUUGGGAAACAAGAAAAGCCUUGGGCUCAGAUUUGCUGUUUACAGUGCAAAACAUGCAAACAUAAACACGUUUCAGUGCCCUCUACUGUCGGUUCACAUCGAUGGAGACACUGUGCUCAUGGAGCAGCUCAGAUAGGAGGCGGCCUUGUGGUCCAGCAUGAAGGUUUUGUUUAUGUACUGCAUCAAGGAUCAAUGAAUCGAAGCAGAACACCAGAGCAGCACCAUGCUGCCAAUAUAUUUAAGUUUACAACAUAAGUAUUUCUGCAUGUGUUCAAAAGACAAAUCAUUUCACAGAUGUACCAAAAACUAGAGGUCAGUUCAUUCUUACUGCCAGAGGUCAGAUGCCAGGGUGAGGGCCCCUCUGUCUGUCUAUUCCCAUCAACCCUGCUACGACCCCUCCAAGACUUAAAACAUCCAUCCAUUUUCAUCCGCUUAUCCGGGGAUGGGUCGUGGUGGCAGCAGGCCAAGCAAAGCACCCCAGACGUCCCUCUCCCCAGCGACAUCUCCCAGCUCCUCCUGGCCAGAGAUAUGUGUGUCCUCGGUCUACCUCCUACCAAGACAGGGAGGCGCACAGGGGGCAUCCUAACGCGAAGAAGUAGCGGCUCUACUUCAAGCUCCCUCCGGAUGUCCAAGCUCUUCACUCUAUCUUUAAGGCUGAGCCCAGCCACCCCACAGAUGAAACUCAUUUCGACCGCUUGUAUCCGCGAUCUCAUUUUUCCGUCACUACCCAGAGCGUUAGACAGACUUUAUACAGCCAUGUCCACAUUUUUAAUUUGCAUUCCACCAGUUUAGAGACAAAUUUAGUCAUAGAAUGCAACCUAUUUUAAUUCAUGAAAUAUGUUAGCAGCAUAGUAAAAUAGCAUAGUAGCAAAGCAAUGUUUCCAGUGCUAUUAAAGGUCACUUCCACUUGGAUGUGACAGCCUGAUGGUAGACAGUAAGCCGACCAUGAUGCACUAACUGUCUGCAGGAGUGUCGCCAUUAUCACAUGUGAUCUGGUUCAAUUACAGCUGGAGGCCUCUGUUGGAUGUCACUUCUCCUCACUGUCACCUUCCUUUCUGUCACACCAACUGUCAGCUAUCGAGUAAAAAUGCCCAAAAAAGAA